AUGAAGAUUUUGCGUGAGAAAGUCCCAGGCUAGAGAGUAUAGUGGGAAAAUCUCAGCUCCCCUUUGAACUCCUGGGCUCAAGUGAUCCUCCCACCAUAAUCUUCCAGGUAGCUGGGACCACAGUAUGCUGAGGUGGCCAAGAGCACAGGUUCAAAUCAAGACCAUGAAUUGAGCCAAGUGCAGUGUGUGCAAAGAGCUUCAAUGUGCCAAGCAUUUUAGAUGCAUUAACUUGAUUCAUCUUCACAAAACCCCUAUGCAUCGUUGAUAUUUUAUUGCCAAUUUCAAGAUUGAAGAACUGAGAAUCAAAGAAUCAGCUCUCUUUUCCAAGGUCACACAGCUAAUAAAGUCAGGAUUUGAACUCAGGCCGGCCUGAUUACAGUGGCACAAUUUGUACUAUUUUGCAAUAUUGAGUGUUUUAGAGUCUUGGGUCAAGUGACCUUUUCCUUUCUAGAGACAAUUAAGUGAAUAAAACAGGAGGUACCUGGACAGGUUUUAUCCAGGGAGCUUUGUCUACAAGAAUUAAAAAUCAAGAAACAAAGCAUGGUAAUAACAAGGGUAAUUAUGGGGACAAAGAG
rnacentral:lncRNA from 1 species